UACGUAGGGUGCAAGCGUUGUCCGGAAUUAUUGGGCGUAAAGAGCUCGUAGGCGGUUUGUCGCGUCUGCUGUGAAAACUCGGGGCUUAACCCCGGGCCUGCAGUGGGUACGGGCAGACUAGAGUUCGGCAGGGGAGACUGGAAUUCCUGGUGUAGCGGUGAAAUGCGCAGAUAUCAGGAGGAACACCGGUGGCGAAGGCGGCAUCCUGGACCAACACUGACGCUGAGGAGCGAAAGCCAGGGGAGCAAACGGG
rnacentral:rRNA from 1 species